UCUUCCGGUCGCGGGACACCGGGUGUAGAGGGCGGUCGCGGCGGGCAGUGGCGGCAGGUGUACAUUUUUAUCUUUCAGAAUGUUGGCUACCAGGGUAUUUAGCCUAGUUGGCAAGCGAGCAAUUUCCACCUCUGUGUGUGUACGAGCUCAUGAAAGUGUUGUGAAGAGCGAAGACUUUUCGCUCCCAGCUUAUAUGGAUCGGCGUGACCACCCCUUGCCGGAGGUGGCCCAUGUCAAGCACCUGUCUGCCAGCCAGAAGGCCUUGAAGGAGAAGGAGAAGGCCUCCUGGAGCAGCCUCUCCAUGGAUGAGAAAGUCGAGUGUGGGUAUUGAAGGGACCCACAGGCGCGCCCAGCAGCUCUCAGAAGUGUGUGUGUGACAGAGCCUCUGCUCACUUCUGGGCCUACUGUCUAGAGAGCAGUCUUGCACAGGAGGGUUGCUCUGCUGGGUUUCGGGGUCACUGUCCCAGGGCCCUAGUUUAUGUGCUCACCAGUCACUUAGCUCUGCCAGCUGACAGGAUCUUUUGCUAGGCCCCCUUCUCUGUGCUGAGUGGAGGUACCCUCUCAGCA
rnacentral:sRNA from 1 species